GUGAGGAAUAUUGCGCAAUGGAGGCAACUCUGACGCAGCCAUGCCGCGUGCAGGAAGAAGGCGCUACGCGUUGUAAACUGCUUUUAACCGGGAAGAAACCCCAGGACGUGUCCUGGGUUGACGGUACCGGAGGAAUAAGCACCGGCUAACUUCGUGCCAGCAGCCGCGGUAAUACGAAGGGUGCAAGCGUUAUCCGGAUUCAUGGGGUUUAAAGGGUGCGUAGGCGGAGCGUUAAGUCAGUGGUGAAAUCCUGCAGCUUAGCUGUAGACUUGCCAUUGAUACUGGCUCUCUUGAGUGCGCUUGAAGUGGGCGGAAUGUGCCGUGUAGCGGUGAAAUGCUUAGAUAUGGCACAGAACACCAAUUGCGAAGGCAGCUCACUAAGGCGAUACUGACGCUGAGGCACGAAAGCGUGGGGAUCGAACAGGAUUAGAAACCCCGGUAGUCC
rnacentral:rRNA from 1 species